CGGCAUGGGCAGAGCCAGGCAGGCAGCAGCCAGGAGACAUGCUUAAACAGGGACUCCGGGCUCCAUGGUCCGCAGUGUGGGUGUGGAACUGUGGCAGAAGACUGCACUUCGUGAUUCUUUCGCAGCACCUGGUGGGAAGGUCGAUGAACACACCCGAUUCCUUCAGGAUGUCGGUGAUCUUCUGGAGACCUAACCAGAAAUGACAUUGAAGGUCUCCUUUUCCCUGCUCUGUACUUGAAGAAGCCUAUUCAUCCUUCAGUGCCAAGCUCAAGUGCCACCUCAUAGGAAGACUUACCCAUCUCCUUGCCCUCUGGUAGGAUCGUGUCACUAUGAUGGCCCACUCAGCCUGUAGCUACUGCAAGCACGCAGCGUGUGAGAGCCUCCAGACCCUCGUCACACAACAGAGAACUUGAGCUGCAGCAACGGAGAUGUGCUUGCCUUGAGAACUUGAGCUGCAGCAACGGAGAUGUGCUGCCGUGGCAAAGUAUACGCCAGGUCUUGAGGACUUGGUACCAAAAUGUGAGUUAAAAUGCCCUGUUUAUGACUUAUAUUGAUUGCUCGUGGAAAUGGAAUCUGCUUCGCAUAUUGAGGUAUUGAUCAAGUGAGAAAGGCUACUAUCCAGGCAAUGGUGGAUGUGACAUUACAGAGAGUGUGGCCCUUGGUGACAAUGUCACUUUUCUCCCCCCUGCCCACCAGGCUCCUCCAGGGAAGUCACCGUACUGGGCCCACACUCAGGCGUGAACGGAAGCUUCCACUCUGUAUCUGCUGAGGGCGGCAAAGUUUGUUUGGAAUUUCCCUUCCUCUUCCCCACUCUUUGUUUAUUUAUUCAGUCUUUUGUUUACUGAGCUCAGCCUUGUGGAUUUCAAACUUUUAGCUGCAAUCCAAUCACUGCAUCAUCCCAGCAUGGCCUUGUUGACUUUCACUGCUCAGCCUCCCUGCCUGCUUAGCCAUCUCUCUUGCCCUUCAGAGAGGGGUUCUACUCCUACGACACAGGCUAACCAUGCCAUUCCCCACCCUCCACUCUCUGAGUUCCUGACCUCCUGAGUACAGCACCUCUCAUGGUGCUAGAAAGCUCUGAGGUGCUGACAAGUGUCCCCUGACCCUGGAUAGCCCAGAAUAACUUCACUACCCUACAAAAGCCACCUGGUUUCACCAACUCUGACUUCCUCCCUGCAGAAUACCAAGCACACGAAUGCAGUUACCCAACGGAGGCUUCUUGUUGAUCUUUCUGUGGUGUGACACAUUUAGGCCACUUCCAUGUGUGUCCAGGCUAGCAGCCCUACCCCCAACCCAUUUCUUGUUAAGCAGCAUGCUGUGGUGUAGAGGUGUCAUCAAGGGACAUCUUGGUCAUUCUAGCUUGGAGUGAUUAGGGGAAAGGUGUUAUCAAUGCUGAGAGUUUCUGGUGGGUGUAAGUUUUCAUUCCUGUGAGGUGCCUGCCUUGGAUAGUGACUGCUGGGCCUUCUUCAGUCUUUCACAACCUGCUUGCCAAUGGCCGCCCUCAGGUGCGCAGCAAGUGGGACUAUGGGAAGCCUCUAGCUGCAGCAGCCCCUUUUUUUUCUGAACCCUCAAGUGCAUCUUGGGAAUCUAGAGUGUGUAACACACACACACACACACACACACACACACACACACGCUGGCUCCCGCAACUAUGCUCCUCACCCACCCUGAGGCUUCUGCCCUCUUUCUCUGUGUUUGGCUGUCUAAGCAGAGCCAGUCUUGGGCUUCAGGGCCUAACUGUGUAGCUCCUUCUCCACAGUUGUGAGGUCCUCCAAGACCUGCUCCCAUCCAUCCCAUCCAGAGUGUUGGCCUGGAAGUGAAGGCCUACUCAGCUGGCCCAGAGUAGGGUCCUUUGCUCCUGGACAAUUUCUAUCCUGAUCUCUGGGUUAACCACCCUUGGAAGGUCAUUACCCUACUCUUUGGCAAGGCCUCAUUCUGUGUAGCUCUCUUAAGUCUUCAGGACACAUUAACCACGGCAGUCCUGACACCACGGUGUGGGAGGCUGAAGCCAAGGAAAUAACACUGUCUUCCAGGAGAUGGGCUUGAGCCCCAGGCCUGUCUCCCUGUCCCUCACACUAGGGACUAGGGUACCACUGCCCCCAAGACAAGCUGGGCCACACAGUGAUAGCUGCUGACAGCAGGAAGAUAGAAGAUGAUGCUCCAGCCGGCUGCCCCAAAGGACAAAGUUCCCUCGUCUUUCAGUACCUGGGACGUUGGAGCUGGCUCACAGCAGCGGUCACACCAUUGAAGGGUGACAGGGCCAAGAGGAAAGAAACCCAGAGUCUCAGGGAUUGAGGCCUACGGUGCCUGAUCUGUCCUGGAGGGACAGAGUAAAGCCCCAUCAGGACAGGACCUAGGCCUAAGCAAUGACAGAUGGGUAGAUGGAAAUAUGGAUGGACAGAUGGAAGGAUGAAUGGUUGAGUAAACAGAGGAGAGUAGAAAAAUAGAUGGUGGGUGAAUGGUUGGCUAAACAAAAAAAUGAUGUGCUGCAGGAAGAAUGCAAAAAAUGGAUGAAAGAAGGAUGAGAGGGAAGGAGAAGGGGAGGGAAAAGGAAGUGCAAGAUAGAGUGAGGAUAGAAGGAAGGGAAGAGGUUGGAGGAAAGGGAGAGGAAGUAGGGGGAGAGAGGGAAAGAGAGAGGGAAGGAGGAACAAAAGGGGAAGGCGGGAGGGACACAGUGAUGGAUAGACCAGCAUGAAGGACCCCGGGAGCCGUCCUUUCUGCUGUUGCUUCCUUUGGCAGCUGUCACCUUGCUCUCUGCCCCUGACCUGAGCCUCUUUCAGGGUCCCUUGUCCUUCCUGAGGCUAGACUUCUGUGGAAGGAUGAGGGCCAACAGAGGACUGCCCUAGCUUCUAAUGCAUCUUGAAGUUAGUACAGAGACCACACAGAAGCCGAGACAAGACCCUACUCCUCUCAGAGGUGACCCUCUCUCCAGACCAACAGCUCUCCAGAGGGGAGCUAUCAAAGUCUCCACAGUUCCCAAGCUUUCCCUUACUUGCCCUCCUCAGGCAGGCCUGAUCUAUCCUUGGAUCUCCACGACUCGCUGUCCACCUUUGAGGGUGUCACAGUGCCUCAUCUUAUUGACCCUUCUUCCAGUAAGCAAGGGAAAUGGUGCCUUUUCCUGGGACCUGGACCCAUAGACCCAAUCUUCUUCAAAGUGGAUCUCAAGGCUGGCAUCUGAGUCCAAACUCCUGCUCCAGUGCCAGCGUCAGAGCCUCAUUAUACUAGCGGAAGGGCAAGUGGCACCUAAAGGCUACAUUCCAAGUGACUAGGAUCCUUGUUACCAGGGCCCGAGGCAUGGGGACCCUGUCCUUAUCAGAGAUGAGGAAACAGACCCAACUUUGGCCCUGCUGCCAAUCAGGCACUAGUGAUAUGAUGAGCCUAUCUUUGCACACAGCCCACUCCCCAGAGUGCUGGUGAACAUUCCAGAGGCUACAAUCCUGCCAAACCCUACCCUUGUCAGCAUGGUGAACUGUCUGCCUUGGGACUGGCCAGCACUUGGAGUGUUCUAACAUUGGGGAGGGCCAGGGAGGGGGGUAGAGUGUAUUGCAGAGCUCAAGGCCUUAGGAGGGACCAGAAGGGCCUGGAGGGAAUCAGCCUUGUCCAAAUAUGUCCAGCAGGGGGCAGUGCCACCUCACAUUUGGAAAUUGCCUAUGACUGGGUCAAUCCUGGGCCACCCAGCAUAUCCUCCACAGCCUCAGGCUUCUAAUCCACAUUGGCACAGCCCUCCAGGCAGCCUCUUACCCCCAGGGCUCUGCAAGGACUGGCAAGCUGGGCCUUCAGCUAUGAAGCUUCCCCUGGCAUUUCUCUGGGCCCCUGCAUCAGAUGACCAACUAGUUCUUCACUUCAGCCAGACAGCACUCCCCUCUGUGAAUCCCCAGACUCCCUCACUGCUCUGACCUCUACCUACCCAACUUUCCUGACACACUUAAACACUGCAUGGCACCACUGUCCUCAGGCCUGGAGACAGGGCUAGCCCCAUUUGCUCCCAGAUGUACCCGCAACCACCACCACCACACACACCCUUUUUACCAUUGCUUGCUCAUGGGAGGGUCUGUUCUUUCCUGUCCCUCAGCUCCUAGUACCAGCCAUAGGACCCAAGGCGGGAGGGAUUGGGGGCUUGGUGGUAGUCCAAGCAAACAUCAUGUGUCCCCAGACCUGAGGCCCUGCCCCCACCCUAGCCUCUCGGGUUACACAGGCCUAGAGGCUGGCUCAGCCUGCCACUGCCUGAUUCUGCUGCUGAUAAACUUAUCAAGCCCGGCAUCUCUGGUCCAGAGGGACUGCCCUGCGCAGGCAUUGCCAUGGCAACUAGAGGCAGCAAGGCAGCCUUCGACCAGGUUGCCAAGAGAUGGCGGCAGGCAGCCUGGGUGUGCUCGCUUAGCGCAGCGUUCUGCAGCGCUGCCCUGGAGGGCUCGGUCCCACAUACCACCCCGGGGAGCCCUGAGCCAGCCCGGCCCCACCUGGACUCACCUGCCGAAGUCCCCUCUCAUCCCACGAGCCGUGGGUCACUAAAAACCAGCAUGAAGGACCCCAGGAGCCGUCCUUUCUGCUGUUGCUUCCUUUGGCAGCUGUCACCUUGCUCUCUGCCCCUGACCUGAGCCUCUUUCAGGGUCCCUUGUCCUUCCUGAGGCUAGACUUCUGUGGAAGGAUGAGGGCCAACAGAGGACUGCCCUAGCUUCUAAUGCAUCUUGAAGUUAGUACAGAGACCACACAGAAGCCGAGACAAGACCGUACUCCUCUCAGAGGUGACCCUCUCUCCAGACCAAGGAACCAACCAGCAGGAUCCUUGAGCACAAGAAUUUAUCAGAGGACCAGCGUGGGCUAGCAGAGUUCCUGCAAUCACCUAGAGGCAUCAGACUGCUGUUCAUCAACCCCCAGCGGCUGCGCCACAAUGUCCCAGAGAGCAGUUACGCAGGGAAGUCAUUUCACAGUCAGACGAGCUGCAGCGAGGCUGGCAGGCAGGCACCGAGGACAGAGCAAGGUUG